rnacentral:lncRNA from 1 species
GGCAAGUGAGGAAUAUGAAAUAACCUUAUGGCUGAAUCAGGGUGAAGGGGAAGCUUGUAAGCAUGGAAGACGCUCUACUCAAACUAAAAAGUUCAAGUUCUGAUCCAGCAGAUGAAGAGGGAGGCCUGAGAGGCUGCUGUUCUAACUCGCUCCCAGGUUCAAGUGAUUCUUCUGCCUCAGCCUCCCAAGUAGCUGGAAUUACAGGUACUGAGGAUGGAGGACAAGGGGUCAGUGGAGACCCAGCUUUGAGCAGAGCCCUGCCUAAGGUCCAGGGCUCGAUCUGGCCCUAACCACAGAGUCACCUUGAGGUAUGUAACCCCUCCUGGCUUCAAUUUCCUGACUUUUAGGAGUGUAUUAAUCCUAUUUCAUAGGUAGAGCACUUAGUAAGAAAUUGGUGGCCAGGUGUGGUGGCUCAUGCCUGUAAUCCCAGCACUUUGGGAGGCUGAGGGGGUGGAUUGCUUGAGCCCAGGAAUUUGAGACCAGCCUGGGCAACAUAGUGAGACCUUGCCUCUAC